CACGUAGUUAGCCGGCGCUUUUUCUGCAGGUACCGUCACUUUCGCUUCUUCCCUGCUAAAAAGAGGUUUACAACCCGAAGGCCGUCAUCCCUCACGCGGCGUUGCUGCAUCAGGCUUCCGCCCAUUGUGCAAUAUUCCCCACUGCUGCCUCCCGUAGGAGUCUGGGCCGUGUCUCAGUCCCAGUGUGGCCGGUCACCCUCUCAGGCCGGCUACCCGUCGACGCCUUGGUGAGCCAUUACCUCACCAACAAGCUGAUAGGCCGCGAGCCCAUCCCCAACCGAAAUUCUUUCCAGACGCAGACCAUGCGGUCACGUCACAUAUCCAGUAUUAGACGCCGUUUCCAGCGCUUAUCCCAGAGUCAGGGGCAGGUUGCUCACGUGUUACUCACCCGUUCGCCACUGAUCCACAGAGCAAGCUCUGCUUCACCGUUCGACUUGCAUGUGUUAAGCACGCCGCCAGCGUUCAUCCUGAGCCAGGAUCAAACUCUACG
rnacentral:rRNA from 1 species